rnacentral:rRNA from 1 species
CAGGAGACGCUCAAGGUGCAUUCCAUGCAAGUCGAGCGAACAUGAUAACGGAGCUUGCUCCUUUGACGUUAGCGGGCGGACGGGUGAGUAACACCGUGGGUAACCUUUUCUAUAAGACUGGAAUAACUCCGGGAAACCGGGGCUAAUGCCGGAUAACAUUUAGAACCGCAUGGUUCUAAAGUGAAAGAUGGUUUUGCUAUCACUUAUAGAUGGACCCGCGCCGUAUUAGCUAGUUGGUAAGGUAACGGCUUCCAAGGCAACGAUACGUAGCCGACCUGAGAGGGUGAUCGGCACACUGGAACUGAGACACGGUCCAGACUCUACGGGAGGCAGCAGGUAGGGAAUCUUCCGCAAUGGGCGAAAGCCUGACGGAGCAACGCCGCGUGAGUGAUGAAGGGUCUUCGGAUCGUAAAACUCUGUUAUAAGGGAAGAACAAAUGUGUAAGUAACUGUGCACGUCUUGACGGUCCUAAUCAGAAAGCCACGGCUAACUACGUGCCAGCAGGCCGCGGUAAUACGUAGGUGCAAGCGUUAUCCGGAAUUAUUGGCCGUAAAGCGCGCGUAGGCGGGUUUUUUAAGGUCUAAUUGUGAAAGCCCACGGGCUUCAACCGUGGAGGGUCAUUGGAAACUGGAAAACUUGAGUGCAGAAGAGGAAAGUGGAAUAAAAUGUGUAGCGGUGAAAUGCGCAGAGAUAUGGAGAACACCAGUGGCGAAGGCGACGUUUCUAGUCUGUACUGACGCUUGGAACAAACCUUUAACAACCCGAAAUCCAAGGGUUAUUUCCAAGGGGGUUUCGCCCCUUUGUGCCUGCAGCUUACGCAGUAAGCACUCCGCCGUGGGGAGUACGACCGCAAGGUUGAAACUUUUAGGAAUUGACGGGGACCCGCACAAGCGGUGGAGCAUGUGGUUUAAUUCGAAGCAACGCGAAGAACCUUACCAAAUCUUGACAUCCUUUGACAACUCUAGAGAUAGAGCCUUCCCCUUCGGGGGACAAAGUGACAGGUGGUGCAUGGUUGUCGUCAUGCUCGUGACGUGAGAUGUUGGGUUAAGUCCCGCAACGAGCGCAACCCUUAAGCUUAGUUGCCACGCAUUAAGUUGGGCACUCUAAGUUGACUGCCGGUGACAAACCGGAGGAAGGUGGGGAUGACGUCAAAUCAUCAUGCCCCUUAUGAUUUGGGCUACACACGUGCUACAAUGGACAAUACAAAGGGUAGCUAAACCGCGAGGUCAUGCAAAUCCCAUAAAGUUGUUCUCAGUUCGGAUUGUAGUCUGCAACUCGACUACAUGAAGCUGAAUCGCUAGUAAUCGUAGAUCAGCAUGGCUACGGUGAAUACGUUAAAGGGUCUUGUACACACCGCCCGUCACACCACGAGAGUUUGAACACCCGAAGCCGGGGGAAAACCACUUUUGGCCUUUAGUUCAACCCUAGGGUAUCUGGG